UAGGGAAUCUUCCACAAUGGACGCAAGUCUGAUGGAGCAACGCCGCGUGAGUGAAGAAGGUUUUCGGAUCGUAAAGCUCUGUUGUUGGUGAAGAAGGAUAGAGGUAGUAACUGGCCUUUAUUUGACGGUAAUCAACCAGAAAGUCACGGCUAACUACGUGCCAGCAGCCGCGGUAAUACGUAGGUGGCAAGCGUUGUCCGGAUUUAUUGGGCGUAAAGCGAGCGCAGGCGGAAGAAUAAGUCUGAUGUGAAAGCCGUCGGCUUAACCGAGGAACUGCAUCGGAAACUGUUUUUCUUGAGUGCAGAAGAGGAGAGUGGAAUUCCAUGUGUAGCGGUGGAAUGCGUAGAUAUAUGGAAGAACACCAGUGGCGAAGGCGACUCUCUGGUCUGCAACUGACGCUGAGGCUCGAAAGCAUGGGUAGCGAACAGG
rnacentral:rRNA from 1 species